UGGCUGCCUUCUUGCUAUGUCCUCACAUGUCAGGGAGCCAGUGAACUCUGGCAUUUCUUCUUAUAAGGACUAAUCCUAGCAGAUCAGAAACCCACCCUUACGACCCCAUUUAACCUUAAUUGCCUCCAUAAAAGCCCUAUCUCCAGAUACACUGCUGGGCUUUAAUGUAUGAAUUUGGAGGUGGGGUGGGACAAAUAUUCAGUCCAUAACAAUUUCCAUCAAUAAAUUCUAUUUUUUUAACCCUGUCUCAGACAGUUUUUAAAAUUUAAACCAUGUUGUCAUAUCUAUCUUAUGCUACGUGAACCUAAAAGUAAAUUCUUCUCCAUGGAAUUUCUUAUUUGCUCAUUAUUGAUUUCAUAAUCAAUUGCCUGCUAUUCCUUAGGUACUGUUCUAGGUUUCAGGAAGUCAUUAAUAAACAAAAAUGACAAAAAUUAAUUUCUACCUGGAGCUUACACUCCAUCGGUGAGGCAGACAAUGCCUAAGAGUAAAAUCUAUACCAUGCCAGAUAGCAUUAAAUGCAAAGAGACCAAAAUAAAGCAGGAAAGGGCAUUAUGAACUAUUGCGGCAAGGGAAGUUGAAAUUUUAGAUGGAAAAGGAAGUGAGAAACUGGCUGUGUGUAUAUCUGAGAGGAGAACACACCAAGCAGAGAAAACAACAAGAAUCAAAGAGGCUGAGGUAGGGAAGUGGUUGGUUGUUCAGGGAAGAGCAAAGAGGUCAAUAUCAUUGGAACAGAGUAAAUGAAACUUACGGUAUUAGGAGAUGAAGUUCCAGAGGUGUCAGAACCAGGCCAUUUAGGCUCGGGUUGAUUAUUUUCUAAAAAAAGAUUUUUCUUUAUUACUCUGAGUGUAAUGGGAAGCUAUUAGGAAGUUUAGACUGGUAGAAAGUGGGGCAAGAUCUGGCUAAUGUUUUAACAAGAUCACUCUGAUUGGGGCAUUGAAAAAACUUUGGAGAGUACAGAGAAGGAAGGGGACCAGUUAAGAGGCUACCGCCUUAGUCCAGCUAAGAGAUUAGGGCUUAAUUUUAUGUGGGAGUGGAGGUUUCUAGAAGGUAGUCCAAUUCCCUUAUAGUUUGAAAAUGGAAAGAGCAGAAUUAGUUGUUGUUUUGGACUAUAUAUUGAUGACGAGUUCUAGCACGUUUAUCUUUAAUUCCAAGUAUAUUUUUUGUAUAUAUAUUUUUUUUUUUUUGGUAGAGACAGGGUUUUGCCAUGUUAGCCAGGCUUGUCUUGAACUCCUGACCUCAGGUGAUUGACCACCUUGGCGUCCAAAGUGCUAAUAUUACAGGCGUAAGCCACUGCUCCUAGACAGGAUUUCACUUU